rnacentral:rRNA from 1 species
ACGGAGGGUGCAAGCGUUACUCGGAAUCACUGGGCGUAAAGAGCGCGUAGGCGGGAUAAUAAGUCAGAUGUGAAAUCCUAUGGCUUAACCAUAGAACUGCAUUUGAAACUGUUAUUCUAGAGUAUGGGAGAGGUAGGUGGAAUUCUUGGUGUAGGGGUAAAAUCCGUAGAGAUCAAGAGGAAUACUCAUUGCGAAGGCGACCUGCUGGAACAUUACUGACGCUGAUGCGCGAAAGCGUGGGGAGCAAACAGG